rnacentral:rRNA from 1 species
CUGCAUGAAGUCGGAAUUGCUAGUAAUCGCGGAUCAGCAUGCCGCGGUGAAUACGUUCCCGGGCCUUGUACACACCGCCCGUCACACCAUGGGAGCCGGUAAUACCCGAAGUCAGUAGUCCAACCUCGUGAGGACGCUGCCGAAGGUAGGAUUGGCGACUGGGGUGAAGUCGUAACAAGGUAAC